rnacentral:rRNA from 1 species
UUGACCUCGGAUCAGGUAGGAAGACCCGCUGAACUUAAGCAUAUCAAUAAGCGGAGGAAAAGAAACCAACAGGGAUUGCCUCAGUAGCGGCGAGCGAAGCGGCAACAGCUCAGAUUUGAAAU